GAAUCUUAGACAAUGGGGGAAACCCUGAUCUAGCCAUGCCGCGUGAUCGAUGAAGGCAUUAGGGUUGUAAAGAUCUUUCAGCUGGGAAGAUAAUGACGGUACCAGAAGAAAAAGCCCAGGCUACCUCCGUGCCAGCAGCCGCGGUAAUACGGAUGGGGCUAGCGUUAUCCGGAUUUACUGGGCGUAAAGAGCACGUAGGCGGAUCAGAAAGGUAAGGGUGAAAUCCCGGGGGUCAACCUCGGAACUGCCUAUAAAACUCCUGGUCUUGAGGUCGAGAGAGGUGAGUGGGAUUCCGAGUGUAGAGGUGAAAUUCGUAGAUAUUCGGAGGAACACCAGUGGCGAAGGCGGCUCACUGGCUCGAUACUGACGCUGAGGUGCGAAAGCGUGGGGAGCAAACA
rnacentral:rRNA from 1 species